rnacentral:rRNA from 1 species
UGAGGAAUAUUGGUCAAUGGACGGGAGUCUGAACCAGCCAAGUAGCGUGCAGGAUGACGGCCCUAUGGGUUGUAAACUGCUUUUAUAGGGGGAUAAAGUGUGCCACGUGUGGCAUAUUGCAGGUACCCUAUGAAUAAGGACCGGCUAAUUCCGUGCCAGCAGCCGCGGUAAUACGGAGGAUGCAAGCGUUAUCCGGAUUCAUUGGGUUUAAAGGGUGCGUAGGCGGCUUGGUAAGUCAGCGGUGAAAUUCCAGUGCUCAACAUUGGCCGUGCCGUU